rnacentral:rRNA from 1 species
GGUUCCUACGGGGCGCAGCAGUGAGGAAUAUUGGUCAAUGGGCGAGAGCCUGAACCAGCCAAGUCGCGUGAGGGAAGACGGUCCUAUGGAUUGUAAACCUCUUUUGCCGGGGAGCAAAAAGCGGUACGUGUACCGCAUCGAGAGUACCCGGAGAAAAAGCAUCGGCUAACUCCGUGCCAGCAGCCGCGGUAAUACGGAGGAUGCGAGCGUUCUCCGGAUUUAUUGGGUUUAAAGGGUGCGCAGGCGGCGAGUUAAGUCAGCGGUACAAUUUCGGGGCUCAACCCCUACGAGCCGUUGAAACUGUG